GGGGUUGCGGCUCAGUGUUAGAGCGCUCGCCUGGCAUGCGUGAGGCACUGGGUUCAAUCCUCCGCACCACUU
rnacentral:tRNA from 1 species